CGGGGGGGGCUAGCGUUGUUCGGAAUUACUGGGCGUAAAGGGCGCGUAGGCGGUCUGCUAAGUUGGAUGUGAAAACUCUGGGCUUAACCCAGAGCCUGCAUUCAAUACUGACAGGCUAGAGUUCUGGAGGGGAUAGCGGAAUUCCUGGUGUAGCGGUGAAAUGCGUAGAUAUCAGGAGGAACACCGGUGGCGAAGGCGGCUAUCUGGACAGAAACUGACGCUGAGGCGCGAAAGCUAGGGGAGCAAACAGGAUUAGAUACCCUGGUAGUCCUAGCCCUAAACGAUGGAUACUUGGUGUGACUGGGAUUGAAUCCAGUCGUGCCGAAGCUAACGCAUUAAGUAUCCCGCCUGGGGAGUACGGUCGCAAGGCUG
rnacentral:rRNA from 1 species